AUGGAGGCCUCCCCUCUCCUACUGCUCCUCUCACUCACUCUCUUACUUGCCACGUUUCUCCAGGCCAAGGCAGUGCCAUCCCUGCAAGAACAAGCAGGAGCGCUCCUUGCCUGGAAAGCCACGCUCCAAAGCCACCCAGCCCAGCUGCACUCAUGGUCAAGGGGAAACAAUACUAGCACAUGGCCCUGCAGCUGGUAUGGCAUCGAGUGCAGCAAGCAUCAAGCAAGCCACCAAGAGGUGAUCACCAAGAUCUCUCUACGUGGGCUGCGGCUGAGAGGAGAGCUCGACGCCCUCAACUUCACGGCGUUGGCGACCAUGACGAGCAUCCAACUCUCACACAACAGGCUCACCGGGAGGAUCCCUCCCGGCAUUGUGUCACUCAGAGACCUCCGGUUCCUGCUUCUUCAACGCAAUCAGAUAAGGGGCCCUUUAUCACCUGCUUUAGCAUCAUUGAAAAAACUACGGUGCUUAAUGCUCCAGCAAAAUGAACUCUCUGGUGAAAUACCAAGGCAAAUAGGAGAACUAGGAAAUCUCGUGACGCUUAACUUAUCUGCCAAUCACUUGUUUGGUCCCAUCCCGGGUGAACUUGGCUACCUAAAGAAGCUUGUCAGUGAUAACCAUCUCAUGGGUCCUAUCCCUAAUAUCUUUGGUUUUUUGACUAAGCUCACUAUGUUAUACCUCGAUGAUAAUCAAUUCUCUGGACAUGUUCCACGAGAAAUUGGCACCUUAAAGGAUCUCCAAAAUUUGCAGUUCGACGGUAACAAUCUCUCUGGUCCCCUGCCACCUGGGUUGUGUUCCGGAGGUCGGCUGAAGCAUUUUACUGCAUAUGAUAACAAUCUGAUUGGACCACUGCCAUCAAGUUUGGUACACUGCAAAAGCCUGAGGGAAUGUGGUAAUCUUACCAUGCUACGCCUCUCAAACAACAACCUCACAGGGGAAAUACCCACAAGUAUGGGGCGACUCCCUUGGCUAGGGUUGCUUGACCUUUCAUCAAACAAGCUUGAAGGACAUAUUCCAAGUGAACUAGGCAAUCUAAUUUUUUUGUUCCAAUUGAGCCUUGCAGACAAUUUGCUCAAUGGAAGCAUACCACAAGAAAUUGGAGCACUGUCCAAUCUGGAGCUGUUGGAUUUGUCAUCAAAUAACCUAAGUGGUAUGAGUAUGGAAAGCUUGAUUUCCAUUGAUGUAUCUUAUAAUGAAUUGGAAGGACCAGUCCCAGGGAGUAAGAUCUUCCAAGAAGCUCCAAUACAAUGGUUCAUCCAUAAUAAGAUGUUGUGUGGGGAAGUGAAAGGAUUUCCCCCUUGUAGUAGUGGUGCGACUCAGAGCAAAGGGAGAAGGAAAGUAUACAAUGCACUUGUACUAGCCAUAGUUCCUGCACUGAUAUCUCUUGUUCUUAUUGUGGUGAUACUUAUGAUUCAACAUGAAAGGAAGAAAUCCACUACAAUUAACACCAUUAAUGUAACACAAGAAAACCUCUUCUCUAUUUGGAGUUUUGAUGGGGCAGACGUGUUCAAGCAAAUUGUCGAAGCAACCAAUGAUUUUAGCGAAAUACAUUGCAUAGGAGCCGGGGGAUAUGGAUUUGUUUACAAGGCUAGACUUCCCACAUCUGAAAUAUUUGCAGUGAAGAAGAUACACAUGAUAGAAGAUGAGUAUAGGGUGAACGAAGCAGUGUUCAAUCGUGAAAUCAAUGCACUAAUGCAAAUUCGGCAUCGAAACAUCAUUAAACUAUUUGGGUAUUGUUCCUGUAGCCAAGGAAGGUUUCUUAUCUAUGAAUAUAUGGAGAGAGGAGACUUAGCAAAAAUAUUGACAAACAAUGGAAGGGCAAUCGAGUUGGACUGGGGAAGGAGGACACAUAUUGUGUUGGACGUGGGCCAGGCUUUGGCAUACAUGCAUCAUGAUUGUUCAUCACCAAUAGUCCAUAGAGAUAUAACAAGCAAAAAUAUUUUGCUCGAUCCGGAAUUUAGAGCAUGCAUAUCCGACUUCGGCAUGGCUAAAAUUCUCAAUAUUGGUGGUCAGAAUCUCACAAGGCUUGCUGGGACGAAGGGAUAUAUUGCCCCAGAGCUAGCAUAUACAAAGAAUGUGACGGAGAAAUGUGAUGUAUAUAGCUUUGGGGUGCUGAUCCUGGAGAUAUUUAUGGGAUCCCAUCCGGGCGACUUGCUCUCAUCCCUCUCAUUGGGCACCAAGAAUAAUGAUGUUUGUCUACAUGAUCUGUUGGACUCGAGGCUUGUGCUCCCAGAUGCUGAAGCCGCUAGAGAAAUAUACUGCAUGCUCAAUGUUGCAGUACAGUGCCUGGACCCAAAUCCGUCACGCAGACCAACAGCACGACAAGCCAGUGAUGAGCUAUCUGAUAUGAAAGCAUGUGAAGGCCAUGUUGAUUAUCUGCAUGUUGUCCUAACUAGUCCUGCAUAG
rnacentral:rRNA from 1 species